GAUGAGGCCCUAUCCCAUCAUAUGAACAGGCUAUGUUUUGUAGAGUAUUACAUGCCCGCAGGUAUAGACGCUCAUUUUGCUGAUCCGCUUGCUUAGGACAUCCACUCUACUAUUUGACGGUGCUCCUUUAGCCUUUGUGUGCUACAUUUACUUCGUAUUACAUGCCCGCAGGUAUAGACGCUCAUUUUGCUGAUCCGCUUGCUUAGGACAUCCACUCUACUAUUUGACGGUGCUCCUUUAGCCUUUGUGUGCUACAUUUACUUCGGGGUUGAGGUUGAAGAUUAUACUCAUCUACGUGGCUAGUUAAGCUUUUCUAUCCGGCGGUGUUUG